rnacentral:rRNA from 1 species
GUGAAAUCGAGUAGGGCGGGACACGUGACAUCCUGUCUGAAUAUGGGGGGACCAUCCUCCAAGGCUAAAUACUCCUGACUGACCGAUAGUGAACCAGUACCGUGAGGGAAAGGCGAAAAGAACCCCUGUGAGGGGAGUGAAAUAGAACCUGAAACCGUGUACGUACAAGCAGUGGGAGCCCUUCGGGGUGACUGCGUACCUUUUGUAUAAUGGGUCAGCGACUUACAUUUUGUAGCGAGGUUAACCGUAUAGGGGAGCCGUAGGGAAACCGAGUCUUAACUGGGCGUCUAGUUGCAAGGUGUAGACCCGAAACCGGGUGAUCUAGCCAUGGGCAGGUUGAAGGUUGAGUAACAUCAACUGGAGGACCGAACCCACUAACGUUGCAAAGUUAGGGGAUGACCUGUGGCUGGGGGUGAAAGGCCAAUCAAACUCGGAGAUAGCUGGUUCUCCCCGAAAGCUAUUUAGGUAGCGCCUCGGACGAAUACUACUGGGGGUAGAGCACUGUUUGGGCUAGGGGGUCAUCCCGACUUACCAACCCCAUGCAAACUCCGAAUACCAGUAAGUAAUAUCCGGGAGACACACGGCGGGUGCUAACGUCCGUCGUGAAGAGGGAAACAACCCAGACCGCCGGCUAAGGUCCCAAAGUUCUGGUUAAGUGGGAAACGAUGUGGGAAGGCUCAGACAGCUAGGAUGUUGGCUUAGAAGCAGCCAUCAUUUAAAGAAAGCGUAAUAGCUCACUAGUCGAGUCGGCCUGCGCGGAAGAUGUAACGGGGCUCAAACCAGGCACCGAAGCCGCGGAUUCACACUUAUGUGUGAGUGGUAGGGGAGCGUUCUGUAAGUCUGCGAAGGUGUAUCGAGAGGUAUGCUGGAGAUAUCAGAAGUGCGAAUGCUGACGUAAGUAACGAUAAAGGGGGUGAAAAGCCUCCUCGCCGGAAGACCAAGGGUUCCUGUCCAACGUUAAUCGGGGCAGGGUGAGUCGACCCCUAAGGCGAGGCCGAAAGGCGUAGUCGAUGGGAAGCAGGUUAAUAUUCCUGCACGACUUGUAAUUGCGAUGGGGGGACGGAGAAGGCUAGGUGGGCCAGGCGACGGUUGUCCUGGUGAAAGUGCGUAGGUGGUGUUUCUAGGCAAAUCCGGAGACACAACACUGAGACACGAGACGAACACACUACGGUGUGGAAGCCAUUGAUGCCCUGCUUCCAGGAAAAGCCUCUAAGCUUCAGAUUACAAGUCAUCGUACCCCAAACCGACACAGGUGGUCGGGUAGAGAAUACCAAGGCGCUUGAGAGAACUCGGGUGAAGGAACUAGGCAAAAUAGAACCGUAACUUCGGGAGAAGGUUCGCUCUUGACAGUGAAGUCCCUUGCGGAUGGAGCAGUUGGGAGUCGCAGUGACCAGAUGGCUGGGACUGUUUAUCAAAAACACAGCACUCUGCAAACACGAAAGUGGACGUAUAGGGUGUGACACCUGCCCGGUGCCGGAAGGUUAAUUGAUGGGGUUAGCGCAAGCGAAGCUCUUGAUCGAAGCCCCGGUAAACGGCGGCCGUAACUAUAACGGUCCUAAGGUAGCGAAAUUCCUUGUCGGGUAAGUUCCGACCUGCACGAAUGGUGUAACCAUGGCCAUGCUGUCUCCACCCGAGACUCAGUGAAAUCGAAUUCGCCGUGAAGAUGCGGUGUACCCGCGGCUAGACGGAAAGACCCCGUGAACCUUUACUACAGCUUGGCACUGAACAUUGAACCUACAUGUGUAGGAUAGGUGGGAGGCUUUGAAGGCGUGACGCCAGUUGCGCUGGAGCCGUCCUUGAAAUACCACCCUUGUAUGUUUGAUGUUCUAACGCAGGGCCCUGAAUCGGGCUCGCGGACAGUGCCUGGUGGGUAGUUUGACUGGGGCGGUCUCCUCCCAAAGAGUAACGGAGGAGCACGAAGGUUGGCUAAUCCUGGUCGGACAUCAGGAGGUUAGUGCAAUGGCAUAAGCCAGCUUAACUGCGAGACGGACAGGUCGAGCAGGUACGAAAGUAGGUCAUAGUGAUCCGGUGGUUCUGAAUGGAAGGGCCAUCGCUCAACGGAUAAAAGGUACUCCGGGGAUAACAGGCUGAUACCGCCCAAGAGUUCAUAUCGACGGCGGUGUUUGGCACCUCGAUGUCGGCUCAUCACAUCCUGGGGCUGAAGUCGGUCCCAAGGGUAUGGCUGUUCGCCAUUUAAAGUGGUACGCGAGCUGGGUUCAGAACGUCGUGAGACAGUUCGGUCCCUAUCUGCCGUGGGCGUUGGAUGAUUGAAGGGAGUUGCUCCUAGUACGAGAGGACCGGAGUGAACGAACCUCUGGUGUUCGGGUUGUCACGCCAGUGGCACUGCCCGGUAGCUAAGUUCGGAAUCGAUAACCGCUGAAAGCAUCUAAGCGGGAAGCGAGCCCUGAGAUGAGUCAUCCCUGACCCCUUGAGGGUCCUAAAGGGCCGUUGGAGACCACAACGUUGAUAGG